rnacentral:misc_RNA from 1 species
UCUCCGUAGGUGAACCUGCGGAGGGAUCAUUACAGAGUUCUCGCCCUCGCGGGUAGAUCUCCCACCCACUGUUAUCGUUACUGUGUUGCUUUGGCGGGCCGCCGGGCCCCGCUCGGCCGCCGGCUCCGGCUGGCGCGCGCCCGCCAGAGGCCCAGCAAUCUCUGAAUGUUAGUGUCGUCUGAGUACUAUAUAAUAGUUAAAACUUUCAACAACGGAUCUCUUGGUUCUG